UAGCUCAGUUGGUAGAGCAUGGUGUGUGCAACGCCAGGGUUGUGGGUUUGAUUCCCAC
rfam:Salmo salar isolate Sally breed double haploid chromosome ssa01, whole genome shotgun sequence.